rnacentral:rRNA from 1 species
UACGGAGGGUGCGAGCGUUGUCCGGAAUCACUGGGCGUAAAGGGCGCGUAGGCGGCUCGUUAAGUGGCUGGUGAAAUCCCGGGGCUCAACUCCGGGGUUGCCGGUCAUACUGGCGAGCUGGAGCACGGUAGAGGCGGAUGGAAUUCCCGGUGUAGCGGUGGAAUGCGUAGAUAUCGGGAAGAAUACCGGUGGCGAAGGCGUUCCGCUGGGCCGAUUCUGACACUGAGGAGCGAAAGCGUGGGGAGCGAUCCGG